rnacentral:rRNA from 1 species
UACAGGGGGGGCAAGCGUUGUUCGGAAUUACUGGGCGUAAAGGGCUCGUAGGCGGCCAACUAAGUCCGACGUGAAAUCCCCCAAGCUUAACUUGGGAACUGCGUCGGAUACUGGAUGGCUUGAAUUCGGGAGAGGGAUGCAGAAUUCCAGGUGUAGCGGUGAAAUGCGUAGAUAUCGUGGAGGAAUACCGGUGGCGAAGGCGGCAUCCUGGACCGACAUUGACGCUGAGGAGCGAAAGCUAGGGGAGCAAACGGG